rnacentral:precursor_RNA from 1 species
AUGCAUUUAUGCAGUGCCUCUGCUUAAUAACAGCCGACCUCCGUCGUCCGUGCAUGGCUCGCGCAGUCGCGCUCUGGUUUCGUCUCGGCCCGCCGUCCCGUCCCUUUGCCUUCCUUCGCACACGCGAAAACUAUAGCUGCACUGCACGCUCUCCUCACACUCUCCCUCCUCUUCUGCUCGUCUGCGCGUCCCAAAACUUUGCUGCUGUGAGAGGUUGAAGCUGCCAGCAUGAUCUGGCUGCUCAGACGCCGGCGGGCGUCUCGAGUGCUCGCUCGAUCGUCGGUGACGCUUGGAUUCACCAGAUCAUGUUGCAGCUUCACUCUCUCGCAGCCAGCA